AAAGGAGUGACGCAGGAAGGUAGCCCAUCCCGGGCGAUGGUUGUCCCGGGGUAAGGAUGUAGGUGGGUGUGUAGGCAAAUCCGCACACUAAUACUGAGAUCUGACGCCGAGGCGUAAGCCGAAGUGGGUAAUCCUAUGCUGCCGAGAAAAGCUUCUAGCAAGUGACAAAUCCGCCCGUACCCGAAACCGACACAGGUGGUCAAGUAGAGAAUACUAAGGCGAUCGAGCAAACCGUAGUUAAGGAACUCGGCAAAAUGCCCCCGUAACUUCGGGAGAAGGGGGGCCUUGAAUUGUGUAGGGAUUUACUCCUGAAGCAGUUCAUGGCCGCAGAAACAAGGCCCAAGCGACUGUUUAACAAAAACACAGGUCCGUGCGAAGUAGUAACACGAUGUAUACGGACUGACGCCUGCCCGGUGCUGGAAGGUCAAGGGGACGGGUUAAGGAGUAAUCCUGAAGCUCAGAACUUAAGCCCCAGUAAACGGCGGUGGUAACUAUAACCAUCCUAAGGUAGCGAAAUUCCUUGUCGGGUAAGUUCCGACCUGCACGAAUGGCGUAACGACUUGGGCGCUGUCUCAACUAUGGACUCGGCGAAAUUGCAGUACGAGUAAAGAUGCUCGUUACGCGUGGAAGGACGGAAAGACCCCGGGACCUUUACUAUAACUUGGUAUUGGCGGUCGAUUUGGAUUGUGUAGCAUAGGUGGGAGACUUUGAAGCAGGGACGCCAGUUCUUGUGGAGUCGAAAAUUGAAAUACCACUCUGUUCGUAUUGGCUGUCUAACCUCGAUCCAUAAUCUGGAUUAGGGACAGUGCCUGGCGGGUAAUUUAACUGGGGCGGUUGCCUCCCAAAAAGUAACGGAGGCGCUCAAAGGUUCCCUCAGCCUGGUUGGUGAUCAGGUGUUGAGUGUAAGUGCACAAGGGAGCUUGACUGCGAGACCGACGGGUCGAGCAGGGACGAAAGUCGGAACUAGUGAUCCGGCACCGGCAAGUGGAAGCGGUGUUCGCUCAACG
rnacentral:rRNA from 1 species